CUCCUUCCAAUGCCUGAGCUCCCUUUCCAUGGGGGAAUUCCUGCUGCUGUCCACCCUGAGCCUCCCCUGGCCCAGCCCGAGGCCGUUCCCUCUUGUCCCGAAUAGAAAUCUUUGACAGCCAAUAUUUAUUUGUGAUGUUCUUUUCUUGUUUUAAGUCAUACCUCAUCAUAACCAAAUCCCACCAAGUUAGAGGCAGCAAAAUAUCAACUUUUCAAAAUUUAAUCUGUUUUCUUGCUCUUUUCUUCUGCCCUUCCUGAUUUUCUGGCUCAGAGACGUUUCUGAAUUAUCAUUUCACUGCUGGAACAAAGCAAAAAAUACCAAAAACCCCAAUCGGUGACUCACUCUUUGCUUGUGUUUAUUACUCAAGAUUGAGAACAUUUGACAAUCCCUCAGAAAUUCAAGGAAUCAGCAAAAGCCAUAAAUUUAUUUAUAAACAAACAUAACCCCCCUCUCCUAAAAUGCAGCUCUCACUGAAAUUAAUUCAACACUGGGUUAUUUAGGAUUAAAAUCAAUCAAACCUGUUGUUAAAAGUAGAUAAAAAUUACAGGCACGAGGGUUGUGCAGGGAGAAGAAUUUUUUUUUUUUUUUUAAAUCAUUUUGAAUUGCAAAUCACAAAUAAAUUUUUCUUCUCUGGAUGUUUCUGUGCGUGAGCAACAUCCAUGCAAAAAUUGGGAUCAUGCUGACACCAAAACAGAAGGAAAACUUCCACCAAGGCCCAGCAGGAUCUGUUUGUCACAGGGUGUUCCCAUCAUUCCUGGGCUGAUUCCAAACUCUUGAUCGAGUGUGUGGAUCGGGAUCUGUCCUCUGGAGAUCCAGAGUCCUCCUUCCUGGGUUUUAGUGAGGAAGAAUCUGAGCUGGAACCUCUGGAAAGAGAGGAGAAGCCCCAGUUUUGGGUUGGGAUUUGCCCUGGAAGGACAAACGGAAUGAUCCUGUUGGAGCUUAGCCAGAACCUUUGGAUUCAGAGCAGGCUCCUCUUCCCUUCCUCCAUCGCCAGGAGCUGAGGACAUUUCCCAAAGAGUUUGUCCCUUCCAAAGGUCUGAGUCCAGCUGGGAUGACAGUUCCUCUCCUUUGGGAUUUCCCUGUGGAAACACAGCCCCAAAGGCCACCGGGAACAGAAACCUUGGAGGAGAGGAUUAAUUUGUUCAGGAUUUAUCCACAAAUCCUGCAGGAACUGCAGGGCUUGUGCCUAUCCUGGUUCAGAUCCAACACGGGAUCGUGGAGAGAGUAGCAAACAUAGCAUGGAAUUGUUGUCAUGGCAUCAUUGCCAUGGAAUCAUUGUCAUGGAAUUGUUGUCAUGGAAUCGUUGUCAUGGAAUUGUUGUCGUGGAAUCAUCCCAGAAUGAGUUGGGUUGGAAGGGACCUCAAAGCCCAUCUCAUUCCAUAGCCAGGGACAUCUUCCACAAUCCCAGGUUGCUCCAAGCGCUGUCCACCUCAGAAAACAGGGGAAGAAACUUUCCCAAGUUCACUUCCAGGAGGAGGCAAAGAUCCAAAAGAGCUGUUCCCGGAUUUUUCCUAGUUUUCCCUCCUCCUUUGUGUCAGAUCUGUGCCCGUUUUCCUCUCAUCCUGGAAAACAUCUGGCAAUACUCUGGAGUUCUGUGGAGCCUCUCACUCCUCCAAGGCAAGCUGUGCAUUGCAGUAUCCCGGCUGACUGCCUCGCAUGGAAUCUCCCUGGAAUCUUUCGGAUCGGUGUCCUCUUCUCCAGAGCCACAUGUUGGGCUUGGACGGGGAAUCUCACCCCUGGCAGGUUCCUCUGCUGUUCCUCUUCUAUUCCCACCCACAGCAGCAGAGUUCUCCUCCUGAUUCCCGCUCUUUUUUCUGGGAUUUAACAACUGUUUAAUCUUCCUUUUAUUUCUUUGGGAUGGCUUUUGGCAGCAGUUUUGCCAUUCCUGCUUCUCCUGGAUAAGCGCAGACGAUUGUUUUUCUGCCUCCUCCAUUCUCCUUGGUCCGGGUUCAGAUGAGAUCAUGUCUUGUCCUACCUCUCAUCAUUCCUCAACUCUGCUCCUUGUCUUCUUCUGGAGCCAAAAGGGUUCACAAAGAUCUCCCAAAAUCGAAUUUCUCAGCCAGGGAUUGGCUCUGUUUAUCUCUUUAUGGGCAAUCAGCUGGAGGUCAGGGAACAUCCACAGAGCUGGGAAGGAUUUUCCACUUUCUAAACAAUAAAAAUCCACGGAAAGGCAAGAUCUCCAAAGUUUUUCUUCCUUUUGGUUGUCUUGACAAAUUCAGUGGCCGAAAGGGUUUUUAAUUUCAGGUUCUGAUGUUUCAGGAAGUUAAGAAACCUCAUUCAUAGGUUGGGUUCUUUUUCUCACACGUCCUCCUUUGGUGAUUCCAUGUCCUCCUUGAUAUCUUCAUGUCUUCCCUGAUGUUUCCAUGUCCUCCUUGGUCUUUCCAAGUUCUUCUCAGUGUUUCCAAGUUCUCCUUGGUGUUUCCAGGUCCUCCUUGGUGUUUCCAAAUUCUCCUUGGUGUCUUCAUGUCCUCCCUGAUGUUUCCAUGUCCUCCUCAGUGUUUUCAGGUCCUCCUUGGUGUUUCCAAGUUCUCCUCGGUGUUUCCAGGUCCCUCUUGAUGUCUUCAUGUCCUCCCUGAUGUUUCCAUGUCCUCCUUGGUGUUUUCAGGUCCUCCUUGGUGUUUCCAAGUUCUCCUCGGUGUUUCCAUGUCCUCCACGGUGUUUUCGGGUCCUCCCUGCUGUUUCCAAGUUCUCUUCGGUGUUUUCAGGUCCUCCUUGACGUUUCUGGGUCCUCCUUGGCCAUUUAAAGCUCAGAGACAUCAAACAAACCUUGCUGAGACACAAAUCCUUUGGAUGUGCUUCAGUUAGUGAUUAACUCCAAACUAAUUUGCUGUCAAGGAUUUUAAUGGACCUUGAUAAAUCUCCUAAUCCCGUCUUUUCUUCCCUCAGUGCUGACAGGAAUCACCACUGGCUGCUCUUGGCUCUGUAGGAGGUUUGGGAUGGUUUGGAGCCGGGAUUUUCUUCUGGGAGUCUUUUCCCACACUUCAAUUCUUUUUCCUAACUGUCCCUCCAAAACAACUCCAAAACUUCUUUAAAUAACUUAAUUCAGCAUUUUAUUUCCCAUUUUUAACUGGGUGCAAAUCUGACUGGAGGGAAGGGUUUAUGGUUCAAAGCCAAUCUCAGCUUGGCAGCUCCCAAACCAAUCCAGAGCUUUGGGAUAGGAAUGUGAUUUCCUUGGAUCACCUGGGUCUCACUGGGUUCGUCUCACCUGGGGCAGAGUUCAUGUACCCCGAGGCAGGAGAUGACUCCCAAACAGUCCUAAAUCUUGGUGGAUUUAUGGGAAAAGGGCACAGAGAGCAGGGAAAACAAUCCUUGUGUUUGUGCCCCACUCCUCGAGGAUUUCAAACAAUAAAAUAGAAAUCUCAAGCUA